UACAGAGGUCUCAAGCGUUGUUCGGAUUCAUUGGGCGUAAAGGGUGUCGUAGGUGGCGCUGUAGUCGGAGUGGUGAAUACUUCGGGCUAACUCCGAAACUGCAUUCGAUACUGGCGUGCUUGAGGACUGGAGAGGAGACUGGAAUUCAUGGUGUAGCAGUGAAAUGCGUAGAUAUCGUAAGGAAGACCAGUGGCGAAGGCGGGUCUCUGGACAGUUCCUGACGCUGAGGCACGAAGGCCAGGGGAGCAAACGGG
rnacentral:rRNA from 1 species